rnacentral:rRNA from 1 species
UACAGAGGGUGCGAGCUUAAUCGGAAUUACUGGCGUAAAGCGCGCGUAGGCGGCUUUGCAAGUCGGGUGUGAAAUCCCCAAGGCUUAACCUGGGAACUGCAUUCGAGACUGCAUUGCUAGAGUAUGGGAGAGGGAAGUGGAAUUUCCGGUGUAGCGGUGAAAUGCGUAGAUAUCGGAAGGAACAUCAGUGGCGAAAGCGACUUCCUGGACCAAUACUGACGCUCAUGUGCGAAAGCGUGGGA